GAUGAACGCUGGCGGCGUGCCUAAUACAUGCAAGUCGAGCGAACAGACGAGGAGCUUGCUCCUCUGACGUUAGCGGCGGACGGGUGAGUAACACGUGGAUAACCUACCUAUAAGACUGGGAUAACUUCGGGAAACCGGAGCUAAUACCGGAUAAUAUAUUGAACCGCAUGGUUCAAUAGUGAAAGACGGUUUUGCUGUCACUUAUAGAUGGAUCCGCGCCGCAUUAGCUAGUUGGUAAGGUAACGGCGUACCAAGGCAACGAUGCGUAGCCGACCUGAGAGGGUGAUCGGCCACACUGGAACUGAGACACGGUCCAGACUCCUACGGGAGGCAGCAGUAGGGAAUCUUCCGCAAUGGGCGAAAGCCUGACGGAGCAACGCCGCGUGAGUGAUGAAGGUCUUCGGAUCGUAAAACUCUGUUAGUAGGGAAGAACAAAUGUGUAAGUAACUAUGCACGUCUUGACGGUACCUAAUCAGAAAGCCACGGCUAACUACGUG
rnacentral:rRNA from 1 species